rnacentral:rRNA from 1 species
ACCCUACGGGACGCAGCAGUGAGGAAUAUUGGUCAAUGGGCGGAAGCCUGAACCAGCCAAGUCGCGUGAGGGAAUAAGGCCCUACGGGUCGUAAACCUCUUUUGCCGGGGAGCAAGGGCCGGGACGCGUCCCGGCCCGGAGAGUACCCGGAGAAAAAGCAUCGGCUAACUCCGUGCCAGCAGCCGCGGUAAUACGGAGGAUGCGAGCGUUAUCCGGAUUUAUUGGGUUUAAAGGGUGCGUAGCCGGGCUUUUAAGUCGGCGGUUAAAAUACGGGGCUCAACCCCGUCCGGCCGUUGAAACUGGGG